AUCUCGUGGUGAGGGCAUCUACAAAGUAACUCAUUCAAUCUUUCUCAUGCCUCAUAUAAGGAUUCAUCAUCCAUAUGUUGAAACAUGGAGAUCUUAUUUUGGAACUU
rfam:Gossypium raimondii chromosome 5, whole genome shotgun sequence.